rnacentral:rRNA from 2 species
UACGUAGGGGGCGAGCGUUGUCCGGAUUCAUUGGGCGUAAAGAGCUCGUAGGCGGUUCGGUUAGUCAGAUGUGAAAACUCCGGGCUCAACUCGGAGAGGCCAUCUGAUACUGCCGUGACUGGAGUUCGGUAGAGGAGUGUGGAAUUCCCGGUGUAGCGGUGAAAUGCGCAGAUAUCGGGAGGAACACCAGCGGCGAAGGCGGCACUCUGGGCCGAUACUGACGCUGAGGAGCGAAAGCGUGGGGAGCGAACAGG